UUCCGGUUGAUCCCGCCGGACCUGACUGCUAUCGGAUUGAUACUAAGCCAUGCGAGUCUUUGUAGUAAUACAAGGCAUACGGCUCAGUAACGCGUAGUCAACCUACCCUAUGGACAAGAAUAAUCUCGGGAAACUGAGCAUAAUUCUUGAUAGAUCAUAAUGCCUGGAAUGGUUUAUGGUUAAAAUGAUUCGUCGCCAUAGGAUGGGACUGCGGCCUAUCAGCUUGUUGGUGAGGUAAUGGCCCACCAAGGCGAUAACAGGUACGGGCUCUGAGAGGAGAAGCCCGGAGAUGGGUACUGAGACAAGGACCCAGGCCCUAUGGGGCGCAGCAGGCGAGAAAACUUUGCAAUGUGCGAAAGCACGACAAGGUUAGUCCGAGUGAUUUCUGCUAAAGAGAUCUUUUGCUAGUUAUAAAACCACUAGUGAAUAAGGGGUGGGCAAGUUCUGGUGUCAGCCGCCGCGGUAAAACCAGCACCUCAAGUGGUCAGGAUGAUUAUUGGGCCUAAAGCAUCCGUAGCCGGCUCUGUAAGUUUUCGGUUAAAUCUAUGCGCUCAACGUAUGGGCUGCCGAAAAUACUGCAGAGAUAGGGAGUGGGAGAGGUAGACGGUACUCGGUAGGAAGGGGUAAAAUCCUUUGAUCUAUCGAUGACCACCUGUGGCGAAGGCGGUCUACCAGAACACGUUCGACGGUGAGGGAUGAAAGCUGGGGGAGCAAACCGGAUUAGAUACCCGGGUAGUCCCAGCUGUAAACGAUGCAGACUCGAUGAUGCAUUGGCAUAUAGCCAGUGCAGUGUCGCAGGGAAGCCGUUAAGUCUGCCGCCUGGGAAGUACGUACGCAAGUAUGAAACUUAAAGGAAUUGGCGGGGGAGCACCACAAGGGGUGAAGCCUGCGGUUCAAUUGGAUUCAACGCCGG
rnacentral:rRNA from 1 species